rnacentral:misc_RNA from 1 species
UCCGAGUUGACCCCGGCAGUCUCCCAUGAGUCCCCACCAUAACGUGCUGGCAACAUGGAACGAGGGUUGCGUUCGUUGCGGGACUUAACCCAACAUCUCACGACACGAGCUGACGACAGCCAUGCAGCAUCUGUGGUGCACCCUCGAAGGUCACACGUUUCCGUGCGCUUGCAGCACCAUGUCAAGCCCAGGUAAGGUUCUUCGCGUUGCAUCGAAUUAAAGAACAUGCUCCGCUGCUUGUGCGGGCCCCCGUCAAUUCUUUUGAGUUUUAGCCUUGCGGCCGUACUCCCCAGGCGGUGAACUUAUCGCGUUGGCUUUGGCACGGACAGGGUCAAUACUGCCCACACCUAGUUCACAUCGUUUACAGCGUAGACUA